AAUGUACCCUCCGUCCGUCCGAAAAUACUUGUUUUAGAAAUGAAUAAAAUGGAUGUAUCUAUAACUAAAAUAAGUUUAGAUACAAUCAUUUCAAUGACAAGUAUUUCCGGACGGAGGGAGUAGUAU
rfam:Triticum aestivum genome assembly, contig: Triticum_aestivum_CS42_TGACv1_scaffold_375869_5AL